GUGGGGAAUAUUGGACAAUGGGGGGAACCCUGAUCCAGCCAUGCCGCGUGUGUGAAGAAGGCCUUUUGGUUGUAAAGCACUUUAAGCGAGGAGGAGGCUACCGAGAUUAAUACUCUUGGAUAGUGGACGUUACUCGCAGAAUAAGCACCGGCUAACUCUGUGCCAGCAGCCGCGGUAAUACAGAGGGUGCAAGCGUUAAUCGGAUUUACUGGGCGUAAAGCGCGCGUAGGUGGCCAAUUAAGUCAAAUGUGAAAUCCCCGAGCUUAACUUGGGAAUUGCAUUCGGUACUGGUUGGCUAGAGUAUGGGAGAGGAUGGUAGAAUUCCAGGUGUAGCGGUGAAAUGCGUAGAGAUCUGGAGGAAUACCGAUGGCGAAGGCAGCCAUCUGGCCUAAUACUGACACUGAGGUGCGAAAGCAUGGGGAGCAAACAGGAUUAGAUACCCCUGUAGUCC
rnacentral:rRNA from 1 species